ensembl:lncRNA
CUGCACACUAACUAGCCCCUAUUAAUGUAUCACCAAACCUCCAGAUAUUUCUAGAUGUAGUUACCCUUUUAGUUUUUUUCCAUUACCACACUGACCCUGUCUCUGAGAAUGGCCCGGUUGUUGGGCUUUACUACAUCACAAGGUAGCACAGCUCUGAAAGUAUACGUGGAUUGAGCCUCUGGCAUCAAACAAGACUGAUCUAGUGGUUGAGGUUACGUCUAGCUCCCUAUCCUCAUCCCUUUGAACCCCCCCCCCCCCCAGCCCUUGCCGCCAAGCUAGGCUAACGGGGAGGUCUUGUUCUAGUGCCUCCGGGUCGACGCCUUGAUGUGCUCCUGUGUUUUCACCGCUGGGCAUAUCUGUGCCGGUGCGCCGCACAAUCGCGUGCAGACAGAAGCGUCGGCUACACUGCCUACGGACACGUGGCAGCCCUUCAGCAGCGGAGGCAGCAGCAGUCCACUCGGUGAUACGUUCAAAAGGACGUUAACGCAGCUUGCACACAGUUUCACCCCACAGAGCCUGUCACAAGGAAUUUGGUUUAAAACCACAUUUCACUAAAAGGAGCCUGUGACGCUUUUGUUUUUCCUGGCACUUUGGGCUGUUUCGCCUUGAGAUAGUGUUUAUUUUUAAUACGACUUUGAUCUGGUGCUGAAUCUGAUAUUUGGAAAGAAGAACUUGGUACCUAAGCACGGUGUCAGCCGGGCUAGGCUGAGGCGGAACCCCGCAUUAUGAGGGCCUUGGACGUGCGCUUAGGCUUUCAGUCUCUACCGAAGACAAGCCACUGGAAAGGUUCCCUUUGCAUAAUGCAUGUUGUUUUGAACAAGACGACGCAGAGCCACUUCGCUGCUAAAUAUGUAGAUGCUCGGUUUUGGCCACGGCUAGCGUUACAGUUUGGGUAUUAGCAUUAGUGUUGGCGUGACAACCGAACCUUUGGAAGACGACGUAGAAGUCAUAUUCCUCAGGUUUAAGAUACAAAACUAUCGGUGUUUUCCCGAAGGACCUUAAUGUCUGGAGGAGCCUGUCCUCUGCCUGACCUGCCAGAAGGAGUCGCUAGAGUACGAGAAGGCAAGACUUCCACCGACACUGGACAUGGCUGAGCCAACUGGCGGCUCCACGGGGGCUGUCGGAAUGCAUCAGAUUUUUAUGGGAUUUGGAACGUUACACACACUUUGUUUUACCUGCAUUAAGUACCAAGGCCUGCAUCUUACUCAGUUCAAUAUGUGCUGUGCUGCUGGUGGUUGUGUCAUUUAGCCGAGUCUAUCUUUGAAUAACGUUCCCACCGGCUACACAGUUCCUGGAUAUAAUUUGACUUGUCCACAUUGUCAGAAACCUAGCAAGGUCAAUAAAGAACUUUCCCGCA